UAUGGCGGCUAUAGCGAUGGUGAUCACCUCUUCCCAUUCCGAACAGAGAAGUUAAGCCCAUCAGCGCCGAUGAUACUGCCGAAAGGUGGGAAAGUAGGUCGUCGCCAAUA
rnacentral:rRNA from 1 species